GCCGGGCACAGUGACGCAUGCCUAUAAUCCCAGCGGCUCUGGAGGCUGAGGCAGGAGGAUCCCGAGUUCAAAGCCAGCCUCAGCAACUGAGAGGCUCUAAGCAACUCAGUGAGACCCUGUCCCUA
rnacentral:sRNA from 1 species